rnacentral:rRNA from 1 species
UUGGGUUAAGUCCCGCAACAGCGCAACCCUCGUCCUUAGUUGCCAUCAUUAAGUUAGGGCACUUUAAGGAAACUGCCGGUGGAUAAGCCGGAGGAAGGUGGGGAUGACGUCAAGUCCUCAUGGCCCUUACAGGCUGGGCUACACACGUGCUACAAUGGCAUCUACAGUGGGCAGCUAUUCCGCAAGGAUGCGCUAAUCUCCAAAAGAUGUCUCAGUUCGGAUUGUCCUCUGCAACUCGAGGGCAUGAAGGCGGAAUCGCUAGUAAUCGCGGAUCAGCAUGCCGCGGUGAAUACGUUCCCAGGCCUU